UCCCUGGUAGCUCAGUUGGCAGAGCAUGUGGCUGUUAACCACAGUGUCGCAGGUUCGAGUCCUGCCCGGGGAGCCA
rnacentral:tRNA from 1 species